rnacentral:rRNA from 1 species
CCUACGGGGGGCAGCAGUGGGGAAUAUUGGACAAUGGGGGGAACCCUGAUCCAGCCAUGCCGCGUGUGUGAAGAAGGCCCUCGGGUUGUAAAGCACUUUCAGUGAGGAAGAACGCCUGGUGGUUAAUACCCAUCAGGAAAGACAUCACUCACAGAAGAAGCACCGGCUAACUCCGUGCCAGCAGCCGCGGUAAUACGGAGGGUGCGAGCGUUAAUCGGAAUUACUGGGCGUAAAGCGCGCGUAGGUGGCUUGAUAAGCCGGUUGUGAAAGCCCCGGGCUCAACCUGGGAACGGCAUCCGGAACUGUCAAGCUAGAGUGCAGGAGAGGAAGGUAGAAUUCCCGGUGUAGCGGUGAAAUGCGUAGAGAUCGGGAGGAAUACCAGUGGCGAAGGCGGCCUUCUGGACUGACACUGACACUGAGGUGCGAAAGCAUGGGUAGCAAACAGGAUUAGAUACCCCGGUAGUC